rnacentral:rRNA from 1 species
UACAGGGGGUGCAAACGUUGCUCGGAAUCAUUGGGCGUAAAGCGCGUGUAGGCUGCUUCGCAAGUCGGAUGUGAAAUCCCCGGGCUUAACCUGGGAACUGCAUUUGUGACUGCAUGGCUGGAGUGCGGCAGAGGGGGAUGGAAUUCCGCGUGUAGCAGUGAAAUGCGUAGAUAUGCGGAGGAACACCGAUGGCGAAGGCAAUCCCCUGGGCCUGCACUGACGCUCAUGCACGAAAGCGUGGGGAGCGAACAGG